GAUGAACGCUGGCGGCGUGCCUAAUACAUGCAAGUCGAGCGAACGGACGAGAAGCUUGCUUCUCUGAUGUUAGCGGCGGACGGGUGAGUAACACGUGGAUAACCUACCUAUAAGACUGGGAUAACUUCGGGAAACCGGAGCUAAUACCGGAUGAUAUUUUGAACCGCAUGGUUCAAAAGUGAAAGACGGUCUUGCUGCCACUUAUAGAUGGAUCCGCGCUGCAUUAGCUAGUUGGUAAGGUAACGGCUUACCAAGGCAACGAUGCAUAGCCGACCUGAGAGGGUGAUCGGCCACACUGGAACUGAGGCACGGUCCAGACUCCUACGGGAGGCAGCAGUAGGGAAUCUUCCGCAAUGGGCGAAAGCCUGACGGAGCAACGCCGCGUGAGUGAUGAAGGUCUUCGGAUCGUAAAACUCUGUUAUUAGGGAAGAACAUAUGUGUAAGUAACUGUGCACAUCUUGACGGUACCUAAUCAGAAAGCCACGGCUAACUACGUG
rnacentral:rRNA from 1 species